UACGUAGGUGACAAGCGUUGUCCGGAUUUACUGGGCGUAAAGAGCGCGCAGGCGGUCGUUCAAGUCGAGUGUGAAAGCCCCCGGCUCAACUGGGGAGGGUCACUCGAUACUGAUCGACUCGAAGGCAGGAGAGGGUAGUGGAAUUCCCGGUGUAGUGGUGAAAUGCGUAGAUAUCUGGAGGAACACCGGUGGCGAAGGCGGCGAUCCUGGACCGGUAGUUGACGCGUGAGGCGCGAAAGCCAGGGGAGCAAAGCGGG
rnacentral:rRNA from 1 species